rnacentral:rRNA from 1 species
GGAGGGUGCAAGCGUUAAUCGGAAUUACUGGGCGUAAAGCGCGCGUAGGCGGUCUGGUCAGUCGGAUGUGAAAGCCCUGGGCUUAACCUGGGAAUUGCAUUCGAUACUGCCAAACUAGAAUGUUGGAGAGGGAAGUGGAAUUUCCGGUGUAGCGGUGAAAUGCGUAGAUAUCGGAAGGAACACCAGUGGCGAAGGCGGCUUCCUGGCCAAACAUUGACGCUGAGGUGCGAAAGCGUGGGUAGCGAACAGGGAUUAGAUACCCUGGUAGUCCACGCCGUAAACGAUGAGAACUAGAUGUCGGGAGGGUUUAGCCUCACGGUGUCGCAGCUAACGCGUUAAGUUCUCGCCUGGGGAGUACGGUGGCAACACUA